rnacentral:lncRNA from 1 species
CUGUAGGGAGUUUUCUGAAAGAUUUUGAAAUCAGAAGUUAACCUCUUAUGUUGGGGUUUAUUAGAUAAAAUCCGUCUCUGACCACAGAAUUAUAUAGGUUCCUAUCACCCCCGCUUUCUGUUACUCAGGCAGGUGUUCAGCACCUAAAUGCCACUGUUUACCUGGGCCCAGCUGGCUCUGAUUCUGAAAAACAACUGAGUAAUAAUGCUGCAUUGACUAAGACUCCAGGAGCUGCAGCUCACCAGCUUCAAUAAUUUCAUCUAAAAACAAAUAAACCAGUGUAUUUUCUUGAUUAAAGGCAAACUUGAACCAUAAAGAUAAGAAAGAUACCUGUGUCCUUACAGUAUUCUUGCAUAUGAUACAUGAACUGGAAAAAGAGGUGUUGCAGGCUUGUGAUAGUGCAGCAAAGCAUGACACACUGGUACUGUAAACAAAGAUCAGUGAGUUGAAACCCCCUCUGAACCCCCUUUUCCAUAAAUAAGUUCCUCCCCCAUAAAUAAUUUUAGUGCAUACAACACAAAUUUAGGUCAUGUCAUUAUUGCUUCCCCUUCAUAAAGGAUGAUGUUCCUCUCAGUUGCUGCUYUCCGGCUUGCCCUUUUGCUUUGAAACGGGAGGUGACCUGAGGCACCUCGUCAUGAUGUGCAUGGCAUUCYACCUGGAGGUACAAAGUACUGCCAUCUUCAGCUGUUUGGCGUUCAGACACGGAGGGUCCCAGUCAUUUCCUUCUCCAGUGCCAGUGUUUGGAGCACCGGCUGAAGAUCAGGAAUUCCAUCCAAGAUCCUCUUAAUUUAACUGCUGAUGGUUUGAGAAGUUCGAACUACCUGUAAUCGUAAGGUAAAAGGCCCAUGUUAAACUCCUUGGGAAGGAGGAGGGAAAUAUAUAGAAGCAUUUGAGCAAGGGAGAGAUGGACUGUGGGAGGCAAAGGAAGAAGUCCAGGACUCGCAGGACUACUACAACCACCCACACAGCGGUAUUGAUCUUUCAGUUGCAGUUACCAACCAGGAUUUGACUAAUUCUAAGACAAAAAUUAUUAAAAUUCAAGAACAGCAAUUAGAAAAUGUUAGAAAUUAGUUAGUAGAUGGAAAUGAAGAGGAAAAAGAGAAGAAGCGAUACCAGGGUGGAUGAAGUUAGGGAGAUGCUCCAGAGAAAAAGCAUGUAAGGUGAGGUGAUAACCAAACGUGCAGAGAAUGACACAAAGAGGGAACAGAGCAGUUUAGAUCCCUAAAGUACACGUUAAGAAAGAACGACUGUGAAGGAGAACAUAAAGUCAUGUGGAAAGUCAAUUCUGUAUGUAGGCUGGGUUUUAAAGUGUGGAUUGAAAUGAUAUACGAAUUUUAGUUGCUUUAAAAAUGAAGGAAAUCAUUUUAAUGGCGUGUUUUUCUGAGGACAAAGCGAAAAGUCACAAGUUUCGAAACAACAGACACUUGCCAUAGCUAUAAGCGUGAACUUCAUUGGGUGUGCUGUAGUACUUGCCGCGUUUACAUGACUAAAUGCCCUUUUUCAAUUAUAAUAAUAUACUCUCAAAAAC